rnacentral:rRNA from 1 species
UACGGAGGGGGCUAGCGUUGUUCGGAAUUACUGGGCGUAAAGGGCGCGUAGGCGGCGCGAUAAGUUGGGCGUGAAAGGCCCGGGCUCAACCCGGGGACUGCGCUUGAUACUGUCGCGCUGUGAGUCCGGGAGAGGAUGGCGGAAUUCCCAGUGUAGAGGUGAAAUGCGUAGAUAUCGGGAGGAACACCAGUGGCGAAGGCGACUUCCUGGCCUGUUCUUGACGCUGAGGCGCGAAAGCUAGGGGAGCAAACGGG